UGCCGUUUUACGGGCUCCUAACCAACUGUGCUAUUUUGUUAGUUUUUUCGCAUGGUUUGUAACUCAUUUUGUAUACAAUGAUGCUACUGUCUCUUAUGACCGAAAAGAGCUUAUUGACAUCAGAACAGCGAUUACACACCUCAAACUGGAUGAAGAUUAUUUUCUUUAAUGAGUCCGACGCGGAGGAUAUAGUGCUUUGUCGUGACGAUGCCCAAAUCACCGUCAUCAGCGUGAAGAAAAUUCGGAGAAAGUGGGGGAGGAGGGUACCAUCUAAGAAUUCGCUUACGAGACCUGAGCCCUCGGACCAUGCCCCAGGACUACCUGACAUGAUGACUCCUUGCUGUCCCCAGUCCACCUGGCCGUGCUGCUGCUCCAGUUUCAACUGUUCUGCCUUAUUAUUAUUCGAACAUGCUGGUCAUUUAUGAACAUUUGAACAUCUUGGCCAUGUUCUGUUAUAAUCUCCACCCGGCACAGCCAGAAGAGGACUGGCCACCCCACAUAGCCUGGUUCCUCUCUAGGUUUCUUCCUAGGUUUUGGCCUUUCUAGGGAGUUUUUCCUAGCCACUGUGCUUCUACACCUGCAUUGCUUGCUGUUUGGGGUUUUAGGCUGGGUUUCUGUACAGCACUUUGAAAUAUCAGCUGAUGUACGAAGGGCUAUAUAAAUACAUUUGAUUUGAUUUGAUUUUCUAAUGAUCAAUUAGCCUUUUAAAAUGAUAAACUUGGAUUAGCUAACACAACGUGCCAUUAGAACACAAGAGUGAUGGUUGCUGAUAAUGGACCUCUGUACGCCUAUGUAGAUAUUCCAUAAAAAAUCUGCUGUGUCCAACUACAAUAGUCAUUUACAACAUUAGCAAUGUCUACACUGUAUUUCUGAUCAAUUUGAUGUUAUUUUAAUGGACAAAAAAAUUAGCUUUUCUUUCAAAAACAAGGACAUUUCUAAGUGACCCCAAACUUUUGUAUGGUAGUGUAUAUACAGUGUCAGAGGAAGGCCCAAAAAAUUGUCAAAGACUCCAGUCACCAAAGUCGUUCGUUCUCUCUGCUUCCGCAUUGCAAGCGGUACCCGGAGCGCCAAGUCUAGGACCAAAAGACUCUUUAACAUCGAUCAAAUUACCUGUACAUUGACUCGGUACCGGUACUUCCUGUAUAUUGCCUCGUUAUUGUUAUGUACAUUUCUUGUGUUACUUUUUGAUGGAUUAGAUUUGACUUUAGUUUAUUUAGUAAGUAUUUUAUUAACUAUAUUUCGUGAACUACAUUGUUGGUUAAGGUCUUGUAAGUCUUGUAAUUAAGCAUGUUGUAUUCGGCGCAUGUGAUAGAUAAAAUUAGAUUUGAUUUAUCUAUGUCAUACA
ensembl:lncRNA